rnacentral:rRNA from 1 species
AAUGGACGCAAGUCUGAACCAGCCAUGCCGCGUGAAGGAUGAAGGCGUUCUGCGUUGUAAACUUCUUUUAUCAGGGAAGAAACCUCAGUAUUCUUAUUGAGCCGACGGUACCUGAUGAAUAAGCACCGGCUAACUCCGUGCCAGCAGCCGCGGUAAUACGGAGGGUGCAAGCGUUAUCCGGAUUCACUGGGUUUAAAGGGUGUGUAGGCGGGCUUUUAAGUCAGUGGUGAAAUCUCCAGGCUCAACCUGGAAACUGCCAUUGAUACUAUUAGUCUUGAAUAUUGUUGAGGUAGGCGGAAUAUGUCAUGUAGCGGUGAAAUGCUUAGAUAUGACAUAGAACACCGAUUGCGAAGGCAGCUUGCUAAACAAUUAUUGACGCUGAGGCACGAAAGCGUGGGGAUCAAA